UGAAAUUUUGUUUCACUGAAACUCUGAAUUUAUAACCUGAUUUUUGUGGACCUGUGGGCUCAAAUGAGAGAGGUCCAAGUCCAAGAUUUUUUUCUUUUAUUUAUUUAUUUAUUUUUAUUUUUUUCGUUUUUCGUUUUUUUUUCUUUUCAAAACACGUGGGCUUCGCCUAGCGAGCAUGACAGCUCAUGAACAAACCUUUGCUCCUUCA
rnacentral:lncRNA from 1 species